UGAGUCACUGUUUAGAAACAUGACAAACAUGGCGACUUACAGGCAGGUCAGGAGGUUGUUGGGUAUUUCUCUAAGAAUUUCAAGUCCGUAAGUUUUCCUCUGGAUUCGUUGAGUACUAGAUUCGUUUAAGAUAUCUAUUAAACUUUAAGAAUGCAUGUUUUCACGUUAUUUCUAUCACUUCGUGUUCCUCAACUAAUUAGUAAGUAAGCAGCUAGCUAUAGUAGCUCUUAUCAGUUUCAUAACCCAAGCCGAGGUCUGACGCAGAUAUGAGACUAGUGAGCUAACGUGAUUAUUGUAGCUCCAUCUACAGUUAAAUUAUAUUGCAACUGUCAUAACUUUUAACUGGUUUAAUAGAACAUGAUUAUUUAUAGCUAGCUAGUUGCUCAGCUUGCCUCUCACUGGCAGAAAUACACCAGCCCAGUCAGCACAAUAUCCCUACUUGCCUAAUGAUGCAGUGGGAGUUUGAUCACAGGAAUAUUUUCAUCAUGGUUUUUUGGAAGUAACAUUUUCUGUCCACAUUCCAUCAAAUUGAAUUGUUCAUUGUCAGCAUGUGGUACUCAUAAAUAAUGUUACAUCAUGUGACGAAUCAGAUUAUUUACAAUCUCGCGUGACUGGUUGUUUUUAUUUAGCAUGGUUGAUCCUGGUGAUCCAUUUACCCCUUUCUUAUCCGAAUUUAACCUGCUCAGAAUGUUUUUUCUUAAGCCUUGCUGUGCGUGCAUAUCAGUAUGCUGGACUGCAUUGGACUCCACUCAACAUUGGUGUCACAAGGAGUUGGCCACUAUUUUCAAUUGUUUCUGCAAGGACCAUGUUCAUUCGGACUCAAGACACUCCCAACCCAAACAGCUUGAAGUUUCUGCCAGGUCGCAUGGUCCUCGAACAAGGAACAAUGGAUUUUGCUGCACCCCGGGAAGCCUAUUGCUCACCCCUCGCUAGGCAACUAUUUAGAAUCGAUGGUGUCAAGGGUGUCUUUUUGGGUACUGACUUCAUUACCAUAACCAAGCACCCUCAGAUGAUGAUGAUGAGGUGAUUACUAUGAUCAAAGAGCUUCUGGAUACCCGAAAGGCCCACAGUGCAGGAGGAUGGUGGAGAUGUCCUGUAUUGCGGCUUUGAGGAUGGCAUUGUGAAGCUGAAGCUGCAGGGCUCCUGCACCAGUUGCCCCAGCUCCAUGGUUACACUGAAGAGUGGCAUCCAGAAUAUGUUGCAGUUCUAUGUCCCUGAAGUGGAAGGGGUAGAGCAGGUGAAGGAUGAGCAAGAGGAAGUUGUCCAAGGCUGAGUCCAAUGGAAACGACUGACUCUACAGACAUUCUUCUUACCCUCUCCCCUCCAGCACCCACUCCUGACUCCAUCCUGUAGCGGAUUAAUGAGCAUCGUAGAGUCCUGUCUAAAGCACAGCAGUGGUAAAAGAAGAACUGCAGGGUUAUUUGGAGAGAUUUCUCAUUGAACUUCAUAGCAAUUCUCAGAGAUUGUCAGCUGUCAAGUCAUUCUGACUAUGUGUUUCAGUGGGUAAGAAGUAGUGUCUUUGUCCUGAUGCUUGCUUUGAAAGGCUUCUAAGGUGAAGGAUUCCAGCUUGUCUGACGAUUUAUUUAUUACAGUUUCUAGUAUUAUCACACCAUGUAACUCAGUAAGUAUUGGUUAUUACAGACCCAAUGCAGCCGUUUGUAUAUCAUUAUCAACUCAUUUCUGGGUAACAAUUAAGUACCUUACUGUAAAAGAUUUCCAUUCAAAUGGGCAAAAUAGCUUUUUAGCAAAAAACUACAUCAAGUAAGGAUUUUGCAAAGGGGGGAAUGGAGAAGUAGCUGUCAUUGUCAUAGAGGUUUGAAACUCUUUAUUGGUCUAUUCAUUUACCGCAUGGUGAUGUCACCAUGGAAAGCCGAAACUCCCACACAUGCAAACCUGCUGUUUAGGAGGUCCUGUGUAGAUUGUAUUUUCAUCCAGCAGCUAUCAGGAAAUAACACUGAUAAAAUUGUUUCACUCCUUUACAGUG